UCCUGCUGCGGCUGGUAGAGGCUCUCUGUCUCCAGCUUGGCUGCAGCCUGCCACUGAGGAGGAGAGGGCUUCACCUGGAGGAUUCCUGCCUGCCUGCCUGCCUGCCUGACCAUCACUGGACUGCAGGACUGGCUCCUGCUUGCAAGUGCUGGCAAACUCAAAUCAGCCCCAGUGCCACCUGUUCUUAAUCAUGCUGGCACUAUGACUUGGAGAAGAAUAAUUAACAGCUGCCACUGCAACCCUCUCAAUUAAGAUGCUAAUCAAAAACAUUAAGAGGAAACUGAGAUGCUCAGGAGGAGAAACCAAAAGCUGCAAGGAAAAAAAUCUAAGGCAAAAUCCAGCAACGUUAAGUCUUGGACGCCCAAUGAAGGGAUCCCAUCUGUUUGCUUUGCUCAGUGCUGUACGCGCCUCGAAUUGGGAUUUAAAGGAACUGCUUCACAACCGCGUUUAAAACUUGACUGUGUGGGGAAUUUUGGAAAGGGCCCAGCUUCCUGCUGUAGCGCCCUGAAGUAUUAACUUUCUCAGAACUGCAAAUUGAAGCAGGAAGUGCUAGAUCUGAUAUUUCCAUAAUGACUGGAUGACGACAAAAGGAGAGCUUAAAUUCAUCUGAUGCAAAUCUGCAAUGUGUUAAAAGCGCUGAGCCCUUUUGUAAUUAGAGCCAAGUGUGCAUGUGAGCAUGUGCUGUUGCAAUGAUGUUGACCACAAUGUAAACGUGCAGGCUGGCCCAUGCUCCCACUAAACCAAAUAAAGCCCCCUGAAGGGGAAAGAUGCCAAAGCAGACAAGAAACAGAACACAGUGGAAGCAGCCUGGUUCAAACUGCCCAGCAGGACCAAAAAACAUGUCCCUGACUCCUUACAAGUCUGAGAGCAAUUAAUGGGGACAAAGCUGCCUCUUCCUGGAAGGCUGAGAUAAAUAUGUUCCUAAGAGGAACACUUAUUCUUUGCCCAGAGGUUAUGGGAGGAGGCCCUGUGCUGGUCUGCAAGCCCAUUACCAUGAUAUGGAGUUGAAUCCUGCCUAGACUUCUGUGGGCACAAGGAAGGGAGGUAUUUUCACCAAUAUCUAUCCUCUGGUGGCAGUCUCAGCCUCACAAAUGCUGCUCGGGCGGGGGUGAGGGUGGGUACCCAGGUUUCAGUGUCCCCUCUAGUCAGAUUCAAAUUCUAAUUUCUUUUCAUACUAUUUCAGAAAUAAAAGUAUAUUUUUCUUUUAUAACUCCUGAGACUGCAUGCAGGGGAUAAGAUUUCUGCUGUUAGCAACUGAGGCAAAAAAGGGACCAGUUGAUACCACAGCCAAGUUCACCUAUAAUAACAAUUAAUUGUAUGCUGAUGGACCUAAUACAAGCAGUGAUUUCUCAUGUGUUUACAAUAAGCAGUUCACAAUUGCUUAGUAACUUUGAGAAACUGUUUAAUUACAUUGGGUAUUGAAUGCAAGAAUUCAGAGCUUUGUCUCAGAAGAUAAUAGUAUAAUAGCAUUAUUCAUUUGCCAGAUACAUUCAGUCAGAAAGGAAUUCUCAAAAGGUAACAUUCUCAAGACAAUGGCUUACACAUGCACAAAUGUGGCAUAAGCUGGCUUUGCACUAAAAAGGUGAUAUGCAUACUGAAAUUUCUAACUGCAACGUAUACUACGAACCAAUCAUAUUGUAAUUAAGUACAUUGAUAUUGUGAUGUCAAAAACGCUAUAAAAAUACUGCUGCUCAAGGGAGGAGCCAGAGGGAAACAAUUUGGGGGGCUUCUAAGGCCUGGUUUCCCUCCCACUGUUGCAACAAUGAAA